rnacentral:rRNA from 1 species
UUGAACGCUGGCGGCAGGCUUAACACAUGCAAGUCGAGCGGCAGCGCGGGGGCAACCCUGGCGGCGAGCGGCGAACGGGUGAGUAGUACAUGGGAAUCUGCCCUGUAGUGGGGGAUAACUCAGGGAAACUUGAGGUAAUACCGCAUACGUCCUACGGGAGAAAGCGGGGGAUCUUCGGACCUCGCGCUAGAGGAGGAGCCCAUGUCCGAUUAGCUAGUUGGUAGGGUAAAGGCCUACCAAGGCGACGAUCGGUAACUGGUCUGAGAGGAUGGUCAGUCACACUGGAACUGAGACACGGUCCAGACUCCUACGGGAGGCAGCAGUGGGGAAUAUUGGACAAUGGGGGCAACCCUGAUCCAGCCAUGCCGCGUGUGUGAAGAAGGCCUUCGGGUUGUAAAGCACUUUAAGUGGGGAGGAAGGCUCGGAGGUUAAUAACCUUCGGGAGUGACGUUACCCACAGAAUAAGCACCGGCAAACUCCGU